AACGAACGCUGGCGGCAGGCCUAACACAUGCAAGUCGAGCGGACCCUUCGGGGUUAGCGGCGGACGGGUGAGUAACGCGUGGGAAUAUGCCCUUCUCUACGGAAUAGUCCUGGGAAACUGGGGGUAAUACCGUAUACGCCCUUUGGGGGAAAGAUUUAUCGGGGAAGGAUUAGCCCGCGUUGGGUUAGGUAGUUGGUGGGGUAAUGGCCCACCAAGCCGACGAUCCAUAGCUGGUUUGAGAGGAUGAUCAGCCACACUGGGACUGAGACACGGCCCAGACUCCUACGGGAGGCAGCAGUGGGGAAUCUUAGACAAUGGGGGCAACCCUGAUCUAGCCAUGCCGCGUGAGUGAUGAAGGCCUUAGGGUUGUAAAGCUCUUUCAGCUGGGAAGAUAAUGACGGUACCAGCAGAAGAAGCCCCGGCUAACUCCGUGCCAGCAGCCGCCGCCG
rnacentral:rRNA from 1 species